rnacentral:rRNA from 1 species
GACGAACGCUGGCGGCGUGCUUAACACAUGCAAGUCGAACGGAAAGGCCCUGCUUUUGUUGGUUUCUCGAGUGUCGAACGGGGGAGUAACACGUGAGUAACCUGCCCUUUACUUUGGGAUAACUUCAUGAAACUGGGUCUAAUACCGGAUAUGAGCUCCUGCUGCAUGGUGGGGGUUGUAAAGUUUCGGCGGUUGGGGAUGGACUCGAGGCUUAUCAUCUUGUUGGUGAGGUAGUGGCUUACCAAGGCUUUGACGGGUAGCCGGCCUGAGAGGGUGACCGGCCCCAUUGGGACUGAGAUAGGGGCAAGAGUGCUACGGGAGGAAGGAGUGGGGCACAUUGCAAAAUGGGCGGAAGCCGGAUGCAGCAACGCCGCGUGCGGGAUGACGGCUUUAGGGUUGUAAACAGCUUUAGACUGUGACGAAGAGUGAGUGACGGUAAUGUGUAAAGAAGCAACGGCUAACUACGUG